GGAGCCACAGGAGAAAGACACUAAGAGAGAUUUCUCAGCUACGUACCCCAGGGCUGCGCCAUUCCAGAACGGAAGAGCUGGCGGGGAGGGUGUGAGGCCCAUGAAGCACUUAGGAUCAGCAGGAUACUACUGAGUGUCUUGUCAUUUCUGCAUUUUGUCAGGGUAAUUUUGAGUAACACUGGCUUCUCAUGUACUGGCAAGGAACAUCAAUUUGGGAACAAAAAAGUAGCAAGGUUAUGCAGUGCAACAGCUCCACUUUGUUCUAGACCAUGAUGACAAACAGCAGAGGCAAAGGGAGUGCAUCCUGGCAGCAGUGGUGAGAGAUAUUUUCAGAGCUGCACGUCCCCUAUAAACUGGUUUUAUGAAAUGAAUAGCAUAUAUCCUGCAGCUGGGUAACCUCUGCUUUAUUCCACUAGCCAAGCUAUUGUUGAAAAUAUUGAACAAAACCAACAAAGGACAGACCUCUGUGGAAGUCUUUGAUCCAUACUUCCAUAUUUGCCAUAGAUGUGGUACUUAGGGACAUGGUUUAGAGGGUGUGAUGGUGAUGAGUGGAU
rnacentral:lncRNA from 1 species